AUUUUUCCGCGCAUCUCCCUCUUUUCCCCCAUUUGUGCCCUUCACAGAACGUUGUCUUCCUCCCUCACUCCUAUCCAAAUCCUCUCCCUCCGCCGCCACCGCCUCUGCUUCCUCUCAACUCACCAUCCUUCCCUCCUUUCAACAUUUUCGCUCCCUCUCCAUUCUUUGCCGCAUGUUCGUGUCUCUCUCUCACAUUUUGGGUUUGUAAUUUAUUUUUGUUAGAGCUAGGAGAAAGUUUGAGUGUUCAUAUAUGAGUGAUGCUAGGAGAUAGGCCAUCAAAGUUUUUGAUUAGCAAGAAUCAGAUCAUGGGAGGGAAGGAUUUUGAGUAUGAUGAUGAGGCCAUGGAAUGAAAAGUUUGGAUUUUUAUGCUUUUGAUCAGGUGAUUUUUUGUGGUUAGGCAGUUUUUAAGCAUGUUGUAGCUACCUUAAUCGUCCUUUCUCAUAGCAUGAGAAAUAUGCAGUUGCUUUAAUAAGGAAAAAAAAUUAUUGGAAGACAUCUGGGUAUGUUAAACUAUACUAUGUAUUAUUGUGUAAACUAAAUUUGUAGGCAACUUAUAUAUGUUAAUGGAGAAAGGCAAUGAUUAUAGUUUUCAGCUUGUGAUUUCUUUGCACAUUCUUGCCAACCUUUGCAUCAUGACUAUAAUCACCUUACUACCUUAGAAAUGCUCUAUGUUUUUACUUUUGUUAAUGUUUUUCUUCUUCUAGCAGCAGUACUUGAUUAAUAAAAGAGAAAAUACGCCAUUUCAGACCUCAAGCACCUUAGAACAUAGUUAUAUAUGGAUUGUUGUAUGUGACAUGUUAAGUUCUAGGGAAUUGUCCAAGACAAGAAAAGGGUUGUUUGGAUAAAAUCCAACCAAUGUGCUCCAAUAGCUAAAAAUAGACUGGAGCUAAAUUUGGUGUAAAUUGAAAACCUAAGGAAGGACUUUUUUCUUGUUAUUAUCACUGAGUUUGUAUUUUUCUUCUUCAUUCAUCUUUCAUGUUUGAAUUACGGUAUGGAAUGUAAUUUUUUUC
rnacentral:lncRNA from 1 species